rnacentral:miRNA from 15 species
UCCAGCCUCUGCAUGUAUUCCCACAGAUUUCCUGAACCGUCUUCUGCUCGCCUUCAGCAGUACCCAACAGUUCAAGAAAGCUGUGGAAAGAAAUGAAGAGGCUCGU